UUUAGAGAGAAGAUGAGGAGAGUGAACGUCAGCAAGAAUGAACAAAGUGUCAGGAAAAAGAGCCAAGAUGAGAAGAAACUCCACACAGAAGAUUUUCCCUCAGUAAAAUGGAGAGGAGCAGUAACGACACUGGGAGACAAACAACAGGAUGAUCCAAAGAGAAACAUCAAAGGCCCUCUCACCAGCUUUCAUUUAUUAAAUUUGUCUUUACUGAACGAUUUCUGGUGUGUACUUGUGUUGAUACUCAGACAACAGCUCGUCUUUCUGUUUGUGCUGGAAGAUUCAGGCAAACACAUAUUACAUAUAUAGAUUGUUAUAUGACACAGUCUCACAUUUAGUGCUCUAUGAUAAUGAUAAGGUCCAGUUUAAUGGUAUUGCUAGUGUCUAAUGAAAUGAACACGUGAUUUUCAGAUCCAGCAAAGUGAAUAUUUUUCACUGUGGAUAAAUUACAUGGAAACGUUUAAUGAGUCAUCAGCUAUUUCACUACAAAGAUGAUGUGAUUAAAGGUUCUCAUACAUGCAGGUCAGAAGUUUUGCUCCAUCCUGGAUGUUAAAUGCUGAUCAAUGUUUACACAUAUCUGCACUUUUAUAACAGCUCAUUUCACAGGUCAUCAGUCUCCUGACUGCAUAUGCAGAGUUUUAUCAUCACGUGUUCAUGGCAGACAAACAUAAUUAUGAAUUCUUGUUUUAGUUCCAUUCAGUCACUCAACAUCAGGUGUCUGCUUGUCCUGAGCUGUGAGAACUACAGUGAGUUGCUUUCCUCUUUAGCUUAGUAUUAAUAAACCAGGUCGUAGGUGGGCACCUGCAUCAAGGAGUCAAGAAGCAUAUUUUAUUGUUUAAUGGUGAAAACAAUGGAUUGUUGGUCAUUUGUUUAAUGGAAAGACUGAAAGUGCGGCCUGGUGUUGACUUACACUUAUUCAAAGUGAUGAAGUACCAACAGAUACUAAAAGUCACAGCCUGAAACACG